CAUUGCUCUGUCACGCAUUGAGCUGGCUCCUUACGUGUGGAUGGAGCUGAGAGGAGAGUACAUCCCAUCUGCUGGAGCUCAUGCAACUGGAUCUGCAGUAGGAAAUGAUCUUUCACUGGGAUUUAACAGCCACAGGAACCUCAGGCUGGCUGAGUGAAAUGUUCCUUAUAAGAGUACUUCAGUGCUAAUGACAGUCACAAUAAGGAACCAGCAAUUCAGUGCUGGAGGAUGCUGCUGAGGAAACAUUGACAUGAGGGCAGUACGGACUGGAAAACUUGGAGGGCACCAACGAUUCAGUCACUUCGGGCAUAUGUACAAGGAGAUUUGGGCAACUCUGAAAUAAUUCCUGUGAGUCUGAGCCUUCAUAGACAAAACCAGAGUAUGUUUUAGGAAGGAUAUUCAAGUAAUUAGAAUAGCCCCUAUAUUAAAGCUGGCAAACUUUCUAAAUCCUGGGUGAAUACUGAAGGCAGGCUGGAUGAUUGUGUUUAUGUGAUUUUUCAAACAUGGAACAAUCUCAGAAAUUACAUUGUCAAGCUCCCUGCUCCUGCGUAGAAAGUUGCACUUCCAUAAAGAGGGUUUCAUCUCCACUUCUACAUUCCUGUCACUGCUCGACAGAUGUUGAAUGUGGAUCUGCUGCUUUGGGUAUGUUUCAGUAAGAAUGAGCCUACACUUCGCUUUGAGAAUAUUUCAGACUUCCUGAAGAAACUAUGAAAAGAUUUGUGACAGAAAAUACAGGUCUUCAAAGAUUUCUCGUAUUGACAGAGGUGUUUGAGAGGAAUAAAGCAUGCACAAAUUAUCUGGGUUCUUCAAAUUCAGGUAUCUUGGGUGAACAGGAGGUCUCCUGCCACAGGAAGAGCAGUGACAAAAUGAGAAGAGUGAAAAUGAGCAAAUUAAAGACCGUAGCUGGGAUGUUUACAGCAGCAACAUGGUGAACAAACAGAUAAGGAUGCUGUGUAAAGCAAAAGGUCACUGGACUUCAAGGACAAACUCAUGGAAAAUGAAUCCACUGAGAUUGCUGAAACUGUGUCUGGCCCUGGAUGUCUGUGAACUGCAAAGGCCUGGAGGAAGGGGAGCACACAGGAGAAGAAAUCCUGGUGAAGGGAUUUUUCAGAAAAUAUGACAGUGACACAAUGGGAAAGGACAGCAGGAAGGAUGAUGACAGAGCUUCAUAUCAGGCAACUUUUGUGUUGGGAUCUGCCUGCUCAGCAUUCAUGAUGUAGGGGAAGACUGGCUCCACCUAAUCAGUAACAGGAGACCCCUGCGUCCACAAAAGCAACCACACAUUUCACAUCCACAAUAUCUUUCCCUCCACAGACACUACAGGGUACAACAGGAAGAAGGAAGAGGAACACUCGGCAUCGUUUCUGGAGCAUUUUCAGGGGUGGCUGCUAAUGAAAACAGUGAGAUCUCUGUUCUUAAGGUCAUCUUCAUGAAAAUGUCCACUGGAUGACUACGUUAAAGAAAUGAAGAAUGAACAGACAGAAAAGGUGUCCUCAAGAAUCCAGAAAGUCCUGCUGAAGGCAAAAGCUGCUUCACUGGUACCACAUCUGUCUGGGGCAUCAUCAGAGGAAUUCCUGACAAAUCUUUGGGGGAACGACAAGAUAAUUAAGGAGCUGACUUUGGGAUGUGAGCUGUUAACUUGUGCACUGAGCUCAGAGGAGCAGGAGACUUGUAAAUGUCACCAUCAAACCAGAUAUUUAUUAGUAGGAGCUGACACACUCCAACUUCCCAGUAAAUGAUGAGAAAAGAUCUAAAUAAAUACUACCCAGAGACCUCUUACUUUCUUUGAAGACUGCAGUGAUCUUUUUAACAGUGCUGUGUAAAAAUGACAUAUGUGAAAUACAAUGAAAUUUGUCGAGAGUUCCAAUGCUGAAGAUUAAGUAAAUAUGAUUUUACUCUCUGUACUAAAUCUGCUGAUGAAGAAGCUAAAUUCUGAUCAGCAGCAGUUACAGUAACCAGCUCGCCUGCUUCUCUCAUGCUGGGGAUAAUUCUGCCUUGGAGAUGCCAUUUGUUGAUAUCUCUUUGCCAUGACAGAUGUUUAAGCUGAUACUUCUUCAGAUGACAAGACUGAAAAUAGACUUAACUCCAUUUGAUGGAAACCCCCCAGCAUCAAUGGAACCAGUGCAGACCUCGAGCCCUUUAUCUUGCCUCUCAGACACUACUUUGGCAGCCCCAUAUAUGAUAAUGCACCCUCUUCGUUGAAUUCUGGGAGGUGAAGAUUAAGCUGACAGAUGGUAUCAGCAGAAGAAUGAUUAUGAGUUCUAAAAACCUUGAUAUUUUGGCUUAGUACACCAUUUUUCAUGCAAAUACUGACAUGGAUAUUAGCAUCCAAUUAAGAAAGUGUAAAACGGUGCCAUUCUGUUACAGUUUACAUUACAAUCAUUUAAUGUUUCAUUAAAAAUACUAAGAAGGGCUGCUCUGAAAGGGAUAAAAAUCAAUGAUCUAUAUAUCACUUCUGCUGCUUUGCUCUUCUGGCACAAUGUGGCAGUGAAAAUGGGCUAUAAAUGUCUUUAAAUUAUUCUGUUAAUAUGAGUUGCUUUUUGAAUUUUUUGUGUUCUGUCUUUAUCAAAGGAUUGAUUCAUAUCAGGACACACUCCCUGGUGUUAAGGGAGUGUUAGCAACAUAAAAUGUCAACUCUUCUUUCUUUAUAGGGUAUUUCCAAUUUAUUUCAAUAGGUUAGGUGAUGUCUAAACAUUCACCCUUUGUUAUUUGGACAAGGACUGUCAGUGCAGUUUAAACACCAAAACCACCUGAUUGUCCACAGACAAAUGUUUUUAAAUGUCCUUUAUCUACUGUUUAGUUUUGGUUUUUGUGAGAAAACCCAUUUUCUUGAUACUUCCACUGAAUAAUAACACACUCUGUUAUUAGAAGAAAUUCUCUGACUUUUUGAAUAUCAUCACAUUCACAUCACUUUUUAAAAAUAAGGAAUAAAUGGAAGGAAAUUUCCCAGCCUCACACUGCUGUGAGGUAAUAUAUUAAAUAACCUAUAUUUAUUAUUAAAACCUCAAAAUAAUUAUUUCAUAGGAAUACUUUUCUCUGCAAACACUAUUACCUAGUUAGCUUAAAAUUAAAAUAAAAUUUGGAGUGUCUUAAAAAUUUUUCUAAUGAAAUGCUUUGAACAUUUUGAAACAUGUCCCACAGUGGCAUUGGGUCAAGAAAAUUCAAUAUACUAUGCUUAUUUUCAUAAAUGUCAGGAAUUUAGUGUGCUAGAUUUUUGCUAUUUUAACCAAGAAAGAUGUAAUUCAAAAGGUUUUGUCCAAGUAUAUGUACAUUAGUUCCCUUCUUUCUCACAGACAGUGAAAAGAUAUAAAUCUCCUCCUUCUCAUCAUAUCUUUUAUCAGUGAACAAAAUAUGACAACAAAAAUCAUUAAAAUCUCAUUAAAUUCUGGUUUUAUGAGAAAUUUUAAAAAUUUUGGACAUGCAGCCACAUUAUUGAAUUAAUGAUGUAAGUGUUACAUCACGAGUAAACCAGGGGCAAAGUUGUGUACACUGUGUUCAGAGAUAAUAAAAUAACACAACUGAACCCUUCCCUCACAGACUGACCUCAGCUUGGGGACAAUCACCUGGACAGGUGUCACCCAAAUAGCUUGAUCAGUUUAAAAAGCAUUUGAGACUAAAAACCUGUAACAAUCCUCCUUCCUGCUUUGUUUUUUUCCUUCUUAUUAAAAGUGGACAUCCAUCCCAACUUUGUGGCUCCUGCAGCUGCUGGAUCCAGGCAGGAUAGCAAACCUGGAUGGCUCAGCCUGGAAAAAAGGCAGUGAAGGUUCUGAGUGCUGGAAAUCAAAGAAACUACCAGCCAAACAGAAUUGCACCAUAAACAGCAACAGCUGCUUGCAAGUAUUGCUUGCAGAUUGUCUUCUUUAUUAGGAGAUAUCAAAACCUCCAGUGACAAUUCAUCACUUUUCUAAUCCUAUUAGCAAUAAUGGAAAAAUGCCAAGUAAUUUCCCUGAAAUUUCCCUCUGCUUUCUUUACAUCCUUAAAACACCCAAGACUGGAGUACAACCCGAGUCCAAGAACAUUGGCUGGCUCUUAGUUGACUGAAAAAACCCAACCUUGUGCUGGAGAGGCUUUACCAAAUUGUUUUAGAGGACAGCAAAACACCAGAGUUGAGAUUCUUAAUUGGAAAUGCUGAGGCUUAUUUGUUUUAUUUCAUUUGCACACGGGUUGGUGGCAAGACUGCUCUAAAAGUCCACACUUCACCAUAACUCCUGAUAACCAUUGUCUCGGACACCAAAAUUAUUGUAAAUGCUUUAAGAUCUGAAACACUGCCACAAUAAGCAGUAGCCUGACUGACUUUGCAAACUCCUCUUGUAAAAUUUUCAGACUAGUGUUCAUUUUUAUGGUUGGUAUAAAGGGCCGAAUAUUGUUUAAUUUCAUGCAAUGGCUAGAAGCUAAUGCUAAAAAACUCAAAUUCAAAGGAGUUUAUCACAGAUAGGCAGCCAUCAGGACAGUUUACCUAGGAAAGCAAUGGAUACUUACACACAUAAAAUCCCUAUUUGUCAUUUCAUUCAAAGAGCAAAUAUUUUAGACCUUUUUUUCCAAAAGGCCAAAAUACCAUCAUCUGAAAAAGUACAAAGAGUCAGAACAUUUCUUCUGAAGUGAAAUAUUUUUAUAUCUUUUCACAACAUUGUUCCAGGUUUUUUACCAGUUCCCACAAUGUAUCAUUGGAGGUUUGGUGGAACAUUCCAAGAGCCGUGUGGGAACAGAGUGUGAAUGGGGCAAAAAAAACCCAUCUGUCUGCUCUGUAAAAAAUAAAGAAUUUCAGGAUCUGUGCUACAAUAUGUAGAACCUCCUGUGGUUUUUAUUCUUCAGACACAAGGCAGCAGUUUUACAAUGUCACUUACACUAAGUGACCUGCUCUCCUCUGCUGGGAUUCAGCCAUACAGGACACAGAGAGGGCUGUUCCUCAGCUUGGAGAAAAGGAUUUAAUGAAUACUCACUCUGUGGAUCAGCCCAGUGCCAAGAGAGAGAGGUGAGCAACGAGUGAAAACUUCCAGUGCCUCUUCCCAGAUGUGUAUGCCAUUUAUCUCACCUGUAUUCUGGUAAACAAAAUUCAAGGGAGAACACAUUAAAGAACCAAACUAAUGAUCUGCAGAGA